GAGUUUGAUCCUGGCUCAGAUUGAACGCUGGCGGCAGGCCUAACACAUGCAAGUCGAGCGGUAGAGAGAAGCUUGCUUCUCUUGAGAGCGGCGGACGGGUGAGUAAUGCCUAGGAAUCUGCCUGGUAGUGGGGGAUAACGCUCGGAAACGGACGCUAAUACCGCAUACGUCCUACGGGAGAAAGCAGGGGACCUUCGGGCCUUGCGCUAUCAGAUGAGCCUAGGUCGGAUUAGCUAGUUGGUGAGGUAAUGGCUCACCAAGGCGACGAUCCGUAACUGGUCUGAGAGGACGAUCAGUCACACUGGAACUGAGACACGGUCCAGACUCCUACGGGAGGCAGCAGUGGGGAAUAUUGGACAAUGGGCGAAAGCCUGAUCCAGCCAUGCCGCGUGUGUGAAGAAGGUCUUCGGAUUGUAAAGCACUUUAAGUUGGGAGGAAGGGCAGUAAAUUAAUACUUUGCUGUUUUGACGUUACCGACAGAAUAAGCACCGGCUAACUCUGUGCCAGCAGCCG
rnacentral:rRNA from 1 species